rnacentral:rRNA from 1 species
CGGCAACAGCUCAAAUUUGAAAUCUGGCUCUCGGGCCCGAGUUGUAAUUUGUAGAGGAUACUUUUGAUGCGGUGCCUUCCGAGUUCCCUGGAAUGGAAUGUCAUAGAGGGUGAGAACCCCGUCU